CGGCCCCUUGGACAAGACUGACGCUCAGGUGCGAAGCGUGGGGAGCAAACAGGAUUAGAUACCUGGUAGUCACGCUGUAAACGAUGUCGAUUUGGAGGUUGUUCCCUUGAGGAGUGGCUUCCGGAGCUAACGCGUUAAAUCGACCGCUGGGGAGUACGGCCGCAAGGUUAAAACUCAAAUGAAUUGACGGGGGCCCGCACAAGCGGUGGAGCAUGUGGUUUAAUUCGAUGCAACGCGAAGAACCUUACCUACUCUUGACAUCCAGAGAAUUUAGCAGAGAUGCUUUAGUGCCUUCGGGAACUCUGAGACAGGUGCUGCAUGGCUGUCGUCAGCUCGUGUUGUGAAAUGUUGGGUUAAGUCCCGCAACGAGCGCAACCCUUAUCCUUUGUUGCCAGCACAUUAUGGUGGGAACUCAAAGGAGACUGCCGGUGAUAAACCGGAGGAAGGUGGGGAUGACGUCAAGUCAUCAUGGCCCUUACGAGUAGGGCUACACACGUGCUACAAUGGCGUAUACAAAGAGAAGCGACCUCGCGAGAGCAAGCGGAACUCAUAAAGUACGUCGUAGUCCGGAUUGGAGUCUGCAACUCGACUCCAUGAAGUCGGAAUCGCUAGUAAUCGUAGAUCAGAAUGCUACGGUGAAUACGUUCCCGGGCCUUGUACACACCGCCCGUCACACCAUGGGAGUGGGUUGCAAAAGAAGUAGGUAGCUUAACCUUCGGGAGGGCGCUUACCACUUUGUGAUUCAUGACUGGGGUGAAGUCGUAACAAGGUAACCA
rnacentral:rRNA from 1 species